CAGUUGAAGAGGAGGGCGUGGUUUCCGCCAUUUGGCGGGGCCUUUGUCGCUCCCACCAGAGCUUGGGAUCUGUCUCCUCUCUUCUACGUUCUUCACCUCGGGAGCCCUUGGUGACUCUGUGACGGCCUCUGUUGCCCUGUGAUCUGCAGGUCGGGAGAGACGCACAGCUAAGAUGCCAGGACAUCCUGAAAGCUGGGAAAGGCUCUUGCCAUCUCUAAGCUGGACCUGGUGACUUUUUUGGAGGGAAAGAAAGAGCCCUGGACUGUGAAGAGUGAGGAGACUAUAGCUGCACAGCCAGUCCAGAUGUAUAAUCUCAUCCCUGAACAUGUCUGAUGGUGUGAUUAUGACAUAUGACUUUACCUGGCAACAGAGUGAGUUGAUGCUCCCUCCUGAGCCCAGCCCACAGAAAGGAUUGUGACAUAUCGCUGCACCCAGAAUUGAGGUGAUGUAACUAUUCCACUGCCCUGGCACUGCCCACAGAAGACAUUGUGACAUAUCGCUGGGUCUUGUACCCAGGUGGUGUGAAUCUUCUCUCCAGCCUUGGCUCUUCCGCAUGUGGCCCAUUGUGACAUAUUACUGGGUCCACAACCCAGGUGAUGUAACUCUACUGCUUAGGCCCUGCCUAUAGAGGACAUUGUGACAUAUCCCUGCAUCCAUCACACAGGUUUUUGCCCACAGGGGAUAUUGUGACAUGUCACUGGGCCUAAUACUAAGGUGACAUUACUCUUUUGUCAUGGCACUGCCCUCAGAAGGCAUAGUGAUGUAUUACUGGGCCCAGAACAAAUGUGGUAUGAGUCUCCUGCCUGGACCCUGCCUACAAGGUGCAUUGUAACAUACCUGGG